rnacentral:rRNA from 1 species
UACGAAGGGGGCUAGCGUUGCUCGGAAUUACUGGGCGUAAAGCGCACGUAGGCGGAUUGUUAAGUCGGGGGUGAAAUCCUGGAGCUCAACCUCAGAACUGCCUUCGAUACUGGCGAUCUCGAGUUCGGGAGAGGUGAGUGGAACUGCGAGUGUAGAGGUGAAAUUCGUAGAUAUUCGCAAGAACACCAGUGGCGAAGGCGGCUCACUGGCCCGAUACUGACGCUGAGGCACGAAAGCGUGGGGAGCAAACAGG